AUGAGUAGAAUAGGAAGUGUCGAUCUAAACACCUGUCCACAAAAACACGAGCGAACAUGCAACAGUAUGGUAGGGAAUGCCGAAGCAACUGUUCAAAUCUGCAGUAGGCAAAAUAAGCAAAUGGUAAAACCUGUUGCGAAUAAGGCGAACUUUUACCGUAAUUAACUGGCAAACAUACAACUGAACGUGUUCAAAACAAUUCAAGUCAACAACUUGGCAAGUGCAAAAAUAAAUUACGCAAACUAGGGAAACAUUGCAAGCACAACUGUAAACAAAAACAAAUAUAUCAAACUGCAAGUGACAUUUAAUAAGAUGAAGCGUGUAUAUAUAUACGAAUGUAUAACAAUUGUUAAUUAUCAUUGAUAUACAGUUUCUCAAAUCUCAAAGACUGUUAUAAACAGUUAAAUCACAUGAGAAGGUGACUAUGAGUUGCAGAGUCUUUAUGCAAAAUACUCAUCAGAAUGAACUGAAUGAGAUUAAGUGUAUAUAUCCGACAGAUGUACAUGUGUAAAGACUUUAUAAAGGUAAAGUAAGCAACCGCUGUAACAUAUACGUCCUUUCCAGUAAAAAGUUCAAUUAAUGUGCAAAAACACAACAUAAACUGUAGACGUUUACCAUGCCGUAUUACAUUGUACACAAAGAUAUCACGUAGUCUUCAGCCAGUUUGUAAGUGCCAGCGAACUAAUAAUUUGAAGUAUUGAGAAUGUUUAAAAUCUUAAACUUCCUGUGUUUCAGAUGUUCACUUGACACCCGCGGUCUGCCACAUCAACACAUUACCAUUAAGGCCCUAAAAGAUAUAUUAAAACACAACAGAGCAAGAAAGGUAUUUACAUAGUUACUAACUGAACAAAAUCUUUACAAGUCAGCAAAGGUUUUGAAGGUUUAAAAAUAUUGGGUGGUGGGAUAAUCAAUUUAGUUUUCAGCUGUGCAUUUUUAUCUCCGGUAUUAUUCGAGAAUUUGGCACGUACUAUUUUCUGAUCCCUUGUAAAUGGAUAUUAUAUAUUCUAGUAUCAUUCCAUUUUCUAUGCGUUUGGGACCAUAUCACAGAUAUAAAUGGUAGCAUAUAUUUCCAUUACUAGUGUAUAUGCAUAUAAAUCAUAAAAGUUAGGUAUACUACAAAGUCAUUGAGUACAAAGAAACAUGUGAAUCGUAAGGGGUGUUUAUGUUCAAAUCACAUACUUGAGCAUUUGUUACAUACUUUGACUUCUGGUGUGUAUUUGGUUCGCCUUGCGGGGAUAACUUUAUUAUGUAACCUGUUAUGUAACUUUGAACAUGACGGGGAUUACAAUUUAAGUUUUGGGGCUGGUUUAAAUCCGAGAGGUGUAUUGUUACUGAGGGUUUCCGUGCUGUAAACUACUAUACUCUUAUUGAAUUAGUUUGAUGUUACGGAAAAUCGAUUCAUGUAUGUCAUAUAUCCUUUGUACAUGCAUACAUUGCUAUGUGAUUUCAGUGUGCGGGGAUGCUUUCCUGAAAUUUGUAUAUCUGUCUUGUAUGUAUUGUGUUCACCAGGUAUUUUAUUGAAUUCUUUCUAACUUUCAAAAGAAACUGACAACAAACAACAAUCAAUACUGACGACAGCUUACAAUAAAUAGCUGUUGGGCAAGUGGUAAGCAAUCUUUUCAUAUUUGUCUUAUGUUAUUUAUCUUCGAUCAGAGCUAGAACGUUCGCGAAGAGAUGACUGUACUAUUGGAAUUUUCAAAACAGUUUGUAAUGUAUUGCUGGUGAUGAGAUAUCUUGUUUGUCAGCAUAUAUAUAUGGUGAAGAAAUAAAUAAUUUGCUGCUGUUCAGAUUUUCAAAACAGAUUCUAAAUACAUGCAGUAAUGGAAUAUAAUUAUUGAUAAAUUGAAUGAUUCUUGAAGUGUCAUCCUGCAUAUCAUGAAAGAUAAAGAUUCUAGCGACAUCAGUAAGCAACAAGAAGGCAAUAGGCACUGGAGUGGCAACCAGUUGAUGCAUUUUCAUUGGUUUCCAUUCACUUAGAUUGUGUCAUUAUGGAAGUAAACUACAACACAGGUCUUCUCUAACAUGACGAGAAAACGAAUUCUGACAGUGUCAAACGGUUUGCAGUAAGUGACAUCAAUCUGGAUAGAAUAUUGUUCGACUCAUGCUUAGACAACAUUGUCCACAAUGCAACUGGUAAAUUCAACUAGUUGAGUUUAUGGUUUGGAAAUGAUGCACCAUCAAUUUUGUUCCAUAUUUGUACUGAAACCUUGGUUGAAACACAAAAGUAGAUGACGGAUAUAUCUUUACAUUUAACAGUGACAGAAACAACCGCAUUUAAAGAUAGUCAUUAAAUAAAUAGAAAAACCCGAGCGGUAUCGUAAAUAUUACUUUUUUAUUGUUUUGCACCAUAAUUUGUAUUCUGCUAUACAAUGUACGUAGUGUUAGGCUUGCUCUUAUUUGAACACAUACUCGAGUUGGGUUUAUUUGUGAGUGCUCUUCCUAUAUUCGCUUCUGAUACCAUAACGUGUGUAUUGGAUUCACCUCGUUGGCAUAACUUUUAGGUAUAACAUUCUGUCGUGUAGCAAUGGAACAAGAUGGGGAUUACAAUUGAGUAUUGAUGCAUUAUAAGCUGGUUUAAACCUGGGAAUGGUGUUUUGCCGGCGGUACCCAAUUGUAAUAUUUUAUAUAUUUUUUCUUCACUCUCGAUAUGGUUACGUUGCCUAAUUAUUUAAUGAGUUUAUUUAAUCAAUACGGGCAACAGCUUUCAUCAAUGGGUAUUGGAAAAGCUUAAAGCAAUAUUUGUAUGCCUUACAAUUCUCUGUUUUUUUAUCAGAAUUGGAAAUUUCGCGAAGAAGUAAAUGUGUUUUUGGAAUUAAGUAUUUAGUGUUUAGAAUUUGAGUUAAUUCUCAAUACAAUUUGGAAAUAACAUAGGUGGAGUGAAGGAAUAUGAUUAUUUGUGAUAUUCAAAUCAGACCUCAAUUUUAGUAUAAUCUGGAAUAUACGUACAUAUAGUGGAGGAAUACAGUUAUUUAUAAGAACGUUUUAUAGUGAUUCAGAUUGGAGGGAUUUAGUUUUUAACAGUUUGGAAUAUACAUAGAUAUAGUGAAUGAUUAUCAUUAUUUAGUGAUAUCAAAAUUGAAUUAAAUAAAGAAAACAGUCUUGAAUACAUAGAUAUAGUGCAAGAAUAUUAUUAUUGUUGAGUAAGUUUCUUCUAAUUAUGUCUAUGUAUUCAAAUCGAAUAUAAUAUUCAAAACUUUUGAGACAGACACAUAUAAGAUGAAGUAAUAUAUCAAUUGGUAAGUACAUCGUGUUCUAAUUUUUAGACAAAAAUACAAUGAAAAAACACUAUUUAUCCUUUUAAUAGACUGUAUUUUACAAUUUGAAAAAUAAUACGAAAUAAAUAUUUUGGGAAGACAAAAAUAGCAUGUACGGUCAGUUGAAGGGCAGGUUAUUACAAAUUCCAACAGUCUUAUAAUCAAUAUAUGAGCUGUGAAAAAUUCUUCUUGAAGAAAUAAACUUUUUCAUUUAAAGUAAUGGCUCAACAAUAGGAAUUCAAUGUCCUUUUUAAGCACUAAAAAUAGAAUCGUAAUUUCUCGUUCGCCUUCGCUAGACAAGCUUUUACAUAUACUCGUGUGAUGACAGUUUCUGUACUUUUCCUUUGAACGUAAAAUUCGUACAGCACGCAUAUUCAUUUAAAAGAUAAAUGUAUCUAUGAAGUCCUACAGAAUAUUUUUACUAUGUCGCCAAACUGUUAAGAUUAUACAAACGCUAUAAUAUACUCUGGAGAAGUUACUGACAAUAUAAAAAGGAACACAUAAUCUUACUUAUCUGAAUCUAAUCAAGUGCAUUAAGAGUUGCUUCGUCCAAAUGAACGUUCAUCCAAGUUUCUUUGACAUGAAGAAAUGCACACUUCAUUUAACAUUGCGGGAAUAUCUAUCAGAGUAAUUGUAUAAAGAUAUAGGACUUGGUGGCAACCACAUACUUUAAGUAUUACCAUUUGAAAAAACUAUAGAGAAAAAUACAUGAAAAUCUUCGACAAUUCCCUUGAAAAAGAGUUAAACGAUUUGCAUUACAAAAGCCGUGUUUUAUAGAACGACAAUAAUUAAGUGCUAAUACAAAGUGGUUUUGCUCAUUUCUUACGCCUUCCGUCCAUUCAUGGUCUGUUAGAGUUGUUUCCUUUACAGCUCAGUAAUGUUAGAGGAGUAUCUCAAUCCGCAAGUAUUUGUAAAAGUAAAAGUAUUGACAAUAUACGGAACAAUUUCAUCAUAACAUUUUAAAAUGUCUUUAAUUUCUGAGAAGGGUCAAAGAACACUAACAUAAUAUCAGAUGUAUUGAUUUACUUAAAGUCCUUGUGUAAUUUUUGCAUGUUUCCUAAAGAGAUCUUAUUGGUGAACUAAAUCAUUUUCUGUCAUUUCUUGACAAUUGUAUUUAUUUCAAAUCAUGUAAGAAGCUGAGUAUGGCACCAGGUGUUGUAUACAUGCAAACAUUAUACAGAAUAAGCCGAUUCAGUCAAAAUUCAGAAAAUUGACAAGCAACCCAAAUUUUAAAUAUUUUGAUAUGAACGAGUUCUAAGAAUAAUUCAUAUUUUUAGUGUACAAAAGAUGAUGCGUCAUAUAUUGAUCAUUUGUAUUAGCUUAUCGGCUAAAAAUACAAAAUUGAAUAUAGAAUACAUUUUACAUUUAAUAGCAAGCUAUUGAUCUGUUCUUAGAUAUAAACAUGUGUGAUUACGAUCAUUACUCAGAUUAACAUUUUUCUUCGCUUUGAUAUAUUUUUAAUUUUUAGGGUUUAUUUAGAUAUUUUUUGCUAAACAAAUAAGCAAAAAUAAUUAAAUAGUAUUUAUGCAAUGGACAUAACAAGAGACCCCAAAUCCAAAAUUUCAGGUACAAGCGUCCACUGAACAUAGAUAUUUUCUUAAAAUGUAAGUUCAAACUCAUUGACUAAACGGAAUUUAAGAAAACCGGUCUUGAACAAGUUUUGAAAUGAUGAAUAUAAUAGUGCAAAUUAAUUUCUCUUAAUUUCUUGUUAAAAGCAAAAGGUAUUGCUUAGUGAUAAUUUGUCAGGAGAUUUUGCAAUUUUGCAUUACUUAUAAAAGCACUAAUGCGAAAUUAUUUCGUUUCAGAAAAUUAUUCAUCAUUGUUUCUAUCAAAAAUCCUUGAAAAUACGAUAAGAGUUUUAUUUACCCACCUUUGCUUUCAAUUAAUUUGUAUUAAAUAGACCUCAUUUAACUGUAAAAAAUUGAAUAACAGCUUCCGUGGUUGUCUGAUAAUAAUACACGUCAUUUUAAGAAAUUAUAAUGACAGUUUUCACUCACAUCGUGUUACUCUGUUUAAAUGCAUCCAAAGCAAAUGAACAUACUCCUUACAAUUAUUGUUAGUAAUCGCCUAUUGUUAUUUGUUGACAUUUUGAAUAAUGCCCUGGCCCGCUGGCUCAAUUCAAAUAAUUAUAUAGUCCUAACAUUUUUAAUUGCGACAAUAAUUCCAAACAAAUAAUAUGAUUGAGUUUGAGUUUAACCAAAUGGAUUGCAGGUUAGAAAAAGUCAUAACAAAAGGGAAUAUGCAUGGUUUUUGACAAAAUCCAAUAAAAAGCACUUCUUGACAUUUUCCUAAUUUCAGAUCAUUUAUAUACUGACCUUGAUACUGUACCGUAUUCUCAUUAAUAUUUUUAUGUCACUAGAAUUUGGUAAAUUUAAAAAAGGAUUGCCUUACUGGAAAUUUAAUAGCUCUCUACCAACGGAUGAAACAUAUAUAAAUGAAGUUACAAAAGCAUUACAGAAACAAAACUACAGUAUACAAUUGACACACAAGAAAAUUUUGAAAAUACGAAUAAUACACCUCUUCAAGAAAUAAGAUUAAUAUUCAUGAUCAGUUAUUAUUCGAGACAAUGUUUUUGAAUAUCAGAGGAAUAACAAUAAAAUAUGCCUCACAAAAGAAAAAUUAAAAAAAAAUAUGGAAGACAAAGUUUUCGAAGAAAUUGAGAAAAUCGAAAUGGAAACAAAUAUAGAUUACGAUUUCUUAGACUAUAAAAGAAGAGAGCUUGCAGAUUUAAGAAAGAACAAAAUGGACGGAAUAUUCAUAAGUUCAAAUGCUAAAUGGAUAUAUGAAGGAGAGAAACCUACAUGUUACUUUUGUCAUCUUGAAAACAGAAACUAUGUUUCAAAACUUAUGAACUCUAAUUUCUGAAAAAGGUGAUAUUUUAAAAAAAACACAUAAUGAAAUUCUUGCUGAAACAAAGCGUCACUAUAAAUGUUUGUACAAAGUGACAAAAAAAAACAGAAGAUAUAUCUUUAAAUGAAUAUUAGGUGAAUUUCAGGUACCUAAACUAUCAGAAAAAUAUAAGCAAUCUAUUGAGGGGGCUCUGGCAUACAAUGAAAUGUUGAAUUCUCUGAAGCGUAUGUCAAAUAAUACAAGCUCUGGGAAUGAUGGUGUCGAAGUGGACUUUUUAUCUUUUGGGAAGAUAUUGGUACAUUACUAGUAAAGUCAAUGAAUUAUGCAUAUAUAAUUGGAGAAUUAUAAAUUACCCAAAAGCAAGGAGUCGUAAUCUGUAUACCUAUAGAUAUAUGCAUAUUAUUGACUGUUGCUUACAAAAUCGCGUCUGCUUCUAUCGCUCUUGGUAUUAAAAACAUCUUAGUAAAUAUCAUAAAUGAAGACUUAAUUUCUACCAGGCAGACUAUAACAUCAAUCAUCAUAAUGUUGUACGACUUGCUUUUUAUACAGCAAAAAUGUGCCUGGUUUAUUAUUUCUGAUGGACUUUGCGGCUGCGUUCGAAACUGUCUCAUGGACUUUUAUGCAACAAGUUUUAGACUUUUUGAACUUUUGCCAUUCAAAAAAUGUAAAUGGACAUAUGUCUUAAUGGUUCUCAUUACAGAGAGGCUGUCGUCGAGGGAAUGACCUGUCACAAUACCUGUUCAUUUUAUGUGCUGAAAUACUUUCACUAUUACUAAGAAAUAACCAAGAUAUAAUCCGUGUAAAGGAGUAUAAGAUUUCCCAAUAUGCAGAUGACAUCAAUUUCUUUUAGAUGGUACAAGCAAAUCUCUGAAGAACACAAUGUUAACAUUAAAAUGUUAUGCUAGAAUUUCAGGCCUUUAUAUCAACAUGGAGAAAACCUAAGUUAUUUGGUUUGGAUCCCCAAAAAAUAGUAAUACCAUUCUUUGUCCAGAAUAUAAUUUGUCAUGGAAAAAAUGAUGUUUUACGGUCUUAGGUGUUAAAUUUACCACAGAUCUUUUUGAAAUGAUAGAUCUCAACUAUGAUUAAAAAAAUAAAGAAAUUAUUUGCAAGUUGGUCUAAAUGAGUUCUAUCUCAAAUUGUCAGGGUAGUUCUUAUAAAAUCCCUUGCUCUUGCAAAAUUAAAUUAUUUUGUUUUUGAGUAUACCAAAUCCACCAAUGGUCAAAAUUAAUACUAUACAGAACCCUUUUUUAACUUCAUGUGGCCACUUUCAACAUCAGAGUUACAUUUAAGAAUAUAGGGAUAUGUUGACAGCAGUAAAUAAAUUUCUUAAAGUAAACAAUAUCCAACAAUUUGCCAAAGAAAAUCAACUAAUAUAUGCAUAUUCCACAACGUCUGGCAUUAAUAAAUAAGGAUAAAAAAGAAUGUAAAUCAAUCUACAAAGCUAUAAAGAAUGAAUGUGGGACAUUCUCCAAAUUCUUUAAAAAAUGGAAAGAUGAACUAAGAGAUACCACAGAAGCACUGUUUUUUAUAAAAGAAUUCAAUCUAUGAUAUGUCUCAUAAAUUCACAAAAGAUCCAAAAUUUACAUGGUUCCAAUUUAGGGUAAACCAUAGAAUCCAGGCAACCAAUUAUUUGCUGAAAAAAGAAGAUUAUUAAUCAAGACUUUUGCAUUUUUUGUAAGAGUGAGCCAGAAACUUUAAUUCAUUUGUUUUAUGACUGUGAAGUGGCUAAACAAUUAUGGCUGCAGUCUCAUUAUUACAUAAAAAAUAAAUGUAAUCUUGGUUUUGAAGAUUGGACUGCUUUAAAUAUUUUAUUUGGCAAAACAGAAAUUGAAAGUGCAUUAUACAAAUUAAUAUUCGAAACAUUAUACACAUUAAAGUAGGUUGAAAAAAUUAAGGCCUGGUCUAGAUAAUGUUAAGAAUAUGUUGCUGUACAAACUCCAAAUAUGAAAAGUUUGAAAAGUCAUGGGGAAAUUUUAGAAACUUAUUUCUUACAGAAUAUUGCAAUAAAAACAUCAUAUACAUACUAUAUGAGUUUGGUGUAAUUUUAUUGAAAGUUACAAAUCAUUUUUAUAACCAUUCCGUAUGGUAGCAGAAAUAGAAAAAAACUGAAGCUUUCAAUUCCCACUCAUCACCACUCUACAAUGGGGUGCUCCACCAACAUCUUCAACAAUUCCUAUCUUUCUUUAUUUUGACACUUUACAGUAAGAAUGAUCUCGUAGUAGUUUGCACUGAAAACCUAUUAUAAUUUUUUCUGCAGCAGACUGGUCUGUGUAAAAAGCAUACUGUCUUGGUUGAUCCAUUGUUUUUUUAUGAAAUUUGAUAAAUUUUAACAUCAGACUCGGAGAAAUACAUUUGUUUAUAUUUUUCAACAUGCAUAUUAUGUUAAAAAUGGAAUUAGUAUAAUUAAUGAAAAUAUAUACGACAGGGUAAAAACAGAAAUUCAAACAAGACAUUACAUGUAUUGAAAUUUAGAGUAAAAUAUUUAUAGCUAGACAUGGGAGUUAACUUUGGUUUUUAUAAAGGCACAAACACAUUGAGAAAUGAUAGAAAUAAUACAAAAUUCACAUUUGAAACUAAGUAGAAAUAACUGUUUCUUUAUUUUUAGCAAAUUAUUAUACGUUUCGUUGCAGUAUAUAUACAUGAUUAUGGAAGGGAAAAUGGUAAAUGCUCUCCGACACCACUCUCCGCAAUGACGGGUAUAAUAAAACGGCAACAUCUGUUUCGGAAAUUAAAAAAAAAAAAAACAAUAUUCGCGUGGAAUAAAUUAAUAAACACGUUAGGAUGAAAACAAUAUAAAAGUGAAAUAUAUAGGUAGAAGUGUUUUUCUUAUUUCUUUAUUAAUCUUAGGAUUAAAUAUGAG